CUGUUUAUUGCCUCUGCAAUACUAAAACUGGAACGAUACAGAGAAGAUUAGCGUAGCCCUUGCGCAAGGAUGACUCAAAUUCGUAAAGCGUUCCAUAUUUUC